CAGCCAGUAUACACGCUGCCUCGAAAUA
rnacentral:sRNA from 1 species